GGUCUUUAGACACAUGGUUUGAAGCCACGGAUUGUUUCUGCCUCGCGUUCACUUCUUUCCGAAAUAACACGGACUAGUUCAUGUUUUCAGCCAAUUGCAAAGCUGCUCUCUCCCCUGUCCCACCUACCACUUCCUCUUCUCUGUCUCGCUUUCACCCUCACGGUACUUCCUGCAUCCUGUUUCUUACGCCCAGACCUAGGCUAACGUGGUGGGUAAAUUGCACGAUCUCUAAUCCGGUUUGAAUCGUUCGCCGGCCGCCCACCCACGUGUUCAGAUGGCGGAGAGCGGUGUUCCCGGGAUGGAAUCGGGUCCUGGAGCUGUUGAAUUCGGAACACCGGGGUCACCCCGUUAGGUGGGGCCGAAGGUUAGUGGGAAAACGGCUGAAAAUGGAACUGAUUUGCUGGGAGGAACCAAUUGCUUUGGACCAAUGCCAUGUUCCAGAUACCGGGAGCAAUGAACUGAUGGUGGAGAGGCUGGAGACGGACUCCCCAACCCCACAAAACGAUUGGGGCUGAAGUGGACAAAUGAAGUAACUGAAUCUUGAAAAUGGGCUGAAAUGAAACAUCCCAGACCUGAGCACAGUAGGGGGUUAUAAAGGAUGGAAGACAGGAAGUAUCAGCAUUACAGAUGAGGAGAGCUGAAGGCUGAGAUCUUUCAAAGGAGCCCAGUGGAGUUAGGUACCCAAACCAGAAAUUUAAAAGGACUUGUUUGAGGUCACCCAGGGAGCCUGUGGCGGAGCUAAAAACUGAGCCCAGAUGUCCUAGUCCAGAGCCUUAACCACACAACUAUCUUGAGGGUGGAGUUGGAAAGCUUGGGAGCCUAUGUUGGAACACAAGGCAGUUGGGGGCAGGAACUCUAAAAACAAAAUUGGAUGGUUCCUCCUCUCCCUGGAUCCUUUAUAGGAAUCACAGAUGGAUGAUUUGAGAUGAGCCUUCAAGGAAAAUGUCUCUCUCUCUCUACCCAUGUCAAUUGUAAGAGAAUUUGGGCCCUGAAGAUUAAAAGUUUUGGCCCGUCUCUGAUCUGUAUUACAAGGACUCUUCAAAGUUAUGUCCAGGAAAGUCUGUACUAAAAAUAGGAUUAAACUAGAAUGGAUGUGUAA